GCCGGGAGUUGUAGUUUCCGCGGCGGCGCGGGAUGAACGCCCGACCGGGAGGAGAGGCUGCGCCUCGCAGUCCGCGCCCGCCGCUCGGAGGCAGUGCUGGGGCCGGGAGGGACGCCGAGGCCCCGCUAGAUGAGGCGCGGGAGCCGGGAGAGGGAUGGUGUGCGGAAACGCGCCGCGAGUACCAGGGCGGCUGCGGCUCCCUCCGCAAGGCCGGCUCCCAUCCGCCGCGGGCCUCUUUCUCAUGGUAAUGAGGCCCCGGGCGCCCUCCCUUCCGCCCACCCUCCACGCCCUCCCCUGCGCUCGCGCCCCCGCGCCUUGUCGGGGCCGCCUUCUCGGCGGAGCAGACAAAGCCCGCGGCCGCGACGGGCCGGGAAGGGUGCCGGACCGAGGGGGGGCCCGGGCCAAGGAUGGGGUCCCUCACCCCCGAGGAGCGAGCUGCGGCCCACCACACCCCCUCCCGGCUCCCAGUGUCGGGAGUCCCAGCGACGCCGGCUGGGAGGAGCCUGAAUUGGAGGAAGUGUGGUACCAGGGACCAUGGGACUCUGCUGGGGAAAGUUCCUACUGUGGACCAGUACUAGGGGAAGAGGUGCUACUGGCAUUUGGAGGCCAGGAGGCUGCAGAGUGUCUCAUGGUAUACAGAGCCUUCCCCCACAACAAGCAAUCAUCUGACGCCAAGUGUCCACAGUGCCAAGCCGGGAGACCCUGCCCUAUAUGUGCAAGUUUACCUCCCUCCCCUGUCUCUGAAAUGGGGCUAGUAAG
rnacentral:lncRNA from 1 species